GUCCCUGCUCAGCUGGGCAUGAGAACAGCCCACAGAGUGUGCUUAUGAGAUUCUAAGUGUGGAUGUCUCCCCUCACACACUGACCCUGUAUGGCACUCUUGGGACAGAUGUGACCAGCUGUGCUUUGCAUGCACGGUGUCACAGGAACUGCACAGAGUCCUACUGGGGUCUUGCUGAGACUGACCCAAUCCCCACGUCAGAGAGCAGGAGCCCAGGGUCUCCCUGAGGCCACCCGCCCAGCAGCUGGUCCCUUGGCAGCUGUCGUGGGCAGACAGUUUGUGGCCCAGCCCUAACUUGGCCCAGGCAGCUCAAGUCCCACCCACCCUGGGCGGCCCCAGGCUGCAGCUGGUGCACCUCAGAGGAGAAGCCAUCCCGGUCCAGCAGGAACAGCUCAUUAGCAAGAGUGCAGAGUGGCAGUGCCACUGCCUGCACUUGGACAGGCAAGCCCUGCUGGAGCUACAGCUGCCCUGGUAGGUCAGACUGGGGCCAGAGGUUAGAGGGGAGCCUAAAAAUAACCUGGCAGGCCCAAUGCCAUCUAGGGGUGCACGUGACACUCCUGGACGCAGGAGCCAGGGGGUCCUAGGGAGGGAAACUUCUGUUCCCCUCCAGGCCCCACCCCAUACCCAGUCUCUCUUUUCCCAGUGUCUGCAAGGUCUCUGGCUGGAGGAAAUGCCUUUCGUCAGCCGCAGGAUGGGCAGCUCCGGAAGGAAGGUCCUCUGGGCUCUCUGUCUCCUGCAGCUCCUGGGAGCCAGCUCUGCCAAGAACAUCUGGAAGCGUGCACUGCCCAAGAGGCUGCUGGAGAGGUUCCAAGUGGAAGAGGUGAGUGCCCCUGGCCACCGGCAGCCUCUCGCUGACCGCUGCCCACCGCCCCCAAGGACCCUGCCCCCCGCCGCCUGCCAGGCUGUGCGCUGCCAGGCCGACUCCGAGUGCCCGAGACACCGGUGCUGCUGCUACAACGGGUGUGCCUACACCUGCCUGGAGGCCGUACUACCUCCACCAGUUCUAGACUGGCUGGUACAGCCGAAGCCUCGGUGGCUGGGAGGCAACCGCUGGCUGCUGGACGGCCCCGAGGAGGUGCUGCAAGCAGAGGCCUGCAGCACCACUGAGGAUGGCGCAGAGCCGCUGCUCUGUCCCUCAGGCUAUGAGUGCCACAUCCUGAUCGCCGGGAACAUGGCCGAGGGCAUCCCCAACCGCGGGCAGUGUGUCAAGCAGCGCCAGCAAGCAGGUGAGUGUGGGUGCCCUGGGCCUGCUCCUGGCCCCGCUGUCCCUGCCCCAGGAAAUGUCCCCAGCACCCCGAGGCUGGCCCAGAGCUCCUCCACCCCUCACUGCCAGAGUCUCUUUCCUGUCUUGCAACCAGGCACAGACGUGAACUCAAGCCAGCAGACUGACUGCAUCCCAGCUCCAGGUUCCUAGCUGAGUGACCCUGGAGUCAGAUUCCACAUCUGCCCCAGCCUCAGCUCCCUCACCUGUACAAUGGGGCCAUAUCAUGCUGUUAUGUGAUUGAUUGAAAUCUCAGGUGCAAAGCCCACAGAGAGAACGAGGAAAUGAGAGGAGGUCAGCAACAAUCAUAGGCGGUCAGGGCUGUUGUAAGGCCUGUAAGAUGGGAGUAAGACAGGCUGGCUCAAAGCUGUUCUCGAGGGUGCCGAUCAGUGCAAAAAGAGCCAUUUCCAGGAUGGAGCUAAGGAAGAGAGCAGACAAAUGAUGGCCAUAUCAUCAGGGAGGCCAGCAGCUGCUUACCCCCUCGCCAGUGCCCUCUCUGAGUUUCACUGCAUCCUGCAAAAGAGAAAUGUAGCCAGGCGCGAUGGCACAGGCCUUUAAUCCCAGCAGGGGCUGUCACGUCAGUAAUGGUUGGCAGCUAUGGCUGAGCCCCACAGCCCUUAAUGCCCAGCAAGUCCCUUGUGCUUCCUCCCUCUCCGUCUCCCCCAUGCUGUAUAAACCUCCCUAUUUAUAUUUGGACCUUCUGAGAGUAAGUAGCAGACCUGGGGGGCCCCAAGGACAAGUCUCCUCUGCCAGGCUUCCCGGGUCUGUGGCAUGUGAGCGCUCCGGUGUGGCCAGAGUGGGCACUGGGGGACUCUUGUCCCCUGUGGGAGGAAGGUGGAUAUCAGCCUGUCUGCAUCAGGGAGUGGGUGGGCCAUUGGUGCCUUUUCUGCAUGGGUUCAAGGUUGCUGGGACGCUGGGAUGAGGCACAGGAGGAAUUAAGGGGGUUCAUGCACCCUUGGGCAGGAGGGAAUUUGCGUGACACAAGGGACACAGUCACUUUUGGAACUUGGUUAUGUCUGGCCUGAGGCAGUAUCCAGCGUGCACACACCUCUGUCCCCUGUGGCAUCGCUCUUGGCCCCGGCAUCGCUGGGAGCAGGAAUUUUUCAGAGCUCCCAGCCUGGGACAGGCACCCAGUCAUUUACUUUGGAAAAGCCUUGCCACCAUUGCUGCUCAGCUGUCCACUGAUGACGGGGUCAGCUGCACAGGCAUCACCACCUCGAACAGUAAUGUCCCCGCUGGUCCCAGAAACCCUGGUCAUCUGUAUGUGGCCACAAAACAAGAGAGAAGAUAUCAGCUACGGCAGAAGUGUGACUCAUCAGCAUCACAGCAGAGAAGAAGUGCCGGCCACCAAGAGGGGACACAGCUCAGUGCUGGGGAGAUGACCACAUAGACACCACCGCACCCUGGCCACCCGCUCCCCAAGUCUCCUGUGCUGCUCGCCUAUGGGGACAGUUUUAUACGGUUCCUCCUAAUAUGUGCAUAUCUAUGUCCUAAAGGAGAAAAUUUAGAAUCCUUGUGAUGCCUUCUUUAGGUACAGAUUUCAGCCCUUUUCGGGGUGAGAAGCUGAGGCCCGGACAGGGUGUGCAGUGCGUGAAGAUUCACACUCCAGUCCCUCUGUCCUUGGCAGUAAGGACACCCGAGUCUCUCUGAACAGACUCAAGGCACCAUUUGCUCCCUGCAUGAGCAUAUUUUGCAGUGACAUUUGCUGAAGAGUGUGCUAAAUUCAUCCUUUAGGAAAGUAGGUCCCAAACGUCUUGGUCUCAGGGCCCUUUACCCUCAAAACAAUGCUGAGCCCUCUGUAUAGUUUUCCCCUGUGAGGGUUACGGCUACGGAGAUUUACCAUAUUAGAAACUAACGCCAAGACUUACAGUAACAGCAUAAACUCAUUAAAUGUUAAAUAGAAGUAAUAUUUGUCUUUAAUCGUAUUUUACAAAACCAAAGAUGGCAUCGUAUUACAUUUUUGUGCAAUUCCU
rnacentral:lncRNA from 1 species